rnacentral:tRNA from 1 species
CGCGGGGUAGAGCAGUUUGGUAGCUCGCAAGGCUCAUAACCUCGAGGUCACGGGUUCAAAUCCCGUCCCCGCAA